rnacentral:rRNA from 1 species
UACGUAGGGGGCAAGCGUUGUCCGGAUUAUUGGGCGUAAAGAGCGUGUAGGCGGUCCGGUAAGUCCGCUGUGAAAGUCGGGGGCUCAACCCUCGAAUGCCGGUGGAUACUGUCGGGCUAGAGUGCGGAAGAGGCGAGUGGAAUUCCUGGUGUAGCGGUGAAAUGCGUAGAUAUGCGGAGGAACACCGAUGGCGAAGGCAAUCCCCUGGGCCUGCACUGACGCUCGAUGCACGAAAGCGUGGGGAGCAAACAGG